rnacentral:rRNA from 1 species
CUGCCAGAAUUCCAUAUGCUUGUCCCCACGAUUAAGCCAUGCAUGCCUACGAAAAUUCAGCCGACCGACUGUGUGGUCCGUGUCCCGUGAGGGAGGGAUUCACCGACUGGGAGGCCGAUGACUCAGCGAACGGCUCCGUAUAUCUGUUGUUACCUGUCGUGGCAAAUUUGGCGUGGAUAACCACGGAAAAUCUGUGGGUAAAACAGCCAAAUGGGGCACAGUGCCUGGCGGCUUAGUAAGCCGUUCGGGCUUAAGCGGCCCCAUGACCCUAAAGGCAUGGGGCCCGCCUCGCAAAUCGCUCCCAAAGUAGCGGCCUCCCGGCUUAACUGGGGCUCAAAGGCCGUGAAACGGAGGCCUCUGCGGCCCGGAGUGCCCCCCAGCUGAUUUUUUCGGCCAGGUGCCCGGGCGUUUAUGCAGAGACUAACCGAAAGCGCACGAUGGGCUUCAGACCUAUCAGCUAGUUGGUAGGGUAUUGGCCUACCAAGGCGAUGACGGGUACAGAGGAUUAGGGUUUGAUCCUGGAGAGGUAGCCUGAGAAAUCGCUCCCACUUCUAAGGAAGGCAGCAGGCGCGGAACGUUCCCAAUGCCGGCCGGCCGGUGAGGACGCGAUGGGAUAUAACAAUGCCCCCAAAAAAAUUUGGCGGGUAAUUGCCAAUGGCCCGGGCAUAAAUC